CAAUAGCGUAUAUUAAAGUUGUUGCAGUUAAAAAGCUCGUAGUUGGAUUUCUGGCUGGAGCGAUCGGUCCGCCCCGCAAGGGGUGUGUACUAGCGUCGUCUCCGACCAUCCUUGUGGGAACUGUGCGGCCGUUAACUCGGUUGUAUAUGGGAACACAUCGUUUACUGUGAAAAAAUUAGAGUGUUUAAAGCAGGCUUAAGCCGUUGGAUACAUUAGCAUGGAAUAAUAAGAUAGGACCUCGGUUCUAUUUUGUUGGUUUCUAGAGCUGAGGUAAUGAUUAAUAGGGAUAGUUGGGGGCAUUCGUAUUUAACUGUCAGAGGUGAAAUUCUUGGAUUAUCGGAAGAUGAACUUCUGCGAAAGCAUCUGCCAAGGAUGUUUUCAUUGAUCAAGAACGAAAGUUAGGGAUCGAAGAUGAUUAGAUACCGU
rnacentral:rRNA from 1 species